rnacentral:rRNA from 1 species
GUAGGUGGCAAGCGUUGUCCGGAAUUAUUGGGCGUAAAGCGCGCGCAGGCGGUUCUUUAAGUCUGAUGUGAAAGCCCACGGCUCAACCGUGGAGGGUCAUUGGAAACUGGAGAACUUGAGUACAGAAGAGGAAAGCGGAAUUCCACGUGUAGCGGUGAAAUGCGUAGAGAUGUGGAGGAACGCCAGUGGCGAAGGCGGCUUUCUGGUCUGUAACUGACGCUGAGGCGCGAAAGCGUGGGGAGCAAACAGGGAUUAGAUACCCUGGUAGUCCACGCCGUAAAUGAUGAGUGCUAAGUGUUAGGGGGUUUCCGCCCCCCUUAGUGCUGCAGCUAACGCAUUAAGCAUCCGCCCUGGGAGUACGGCCGCAAGGCUG